rnacentral:rRNA from 1 species
CCGGGGCAACCUGGUGAGUAAAGUGGCGUACGGGUGAGUAACACGUGGAUCAUCUACCUUCUAGUGGGGAAUACCGUUGGGAAACCGACGACAAUACCGCAUAAGCUCGAGAGAGGAAAGCAGAAAUGCGCUGGAAGAGGAGUCCGCGGCUGAUUAGCUAGUUGGUGAGGUAACGGCCCACCAAGGCAUUGAUCAGUAGCCGGCCUGAGAGGGCACACGGCCACACUGGCACUGAAACACGGGCCAGACUCCUACGGGAGGCAGCAGUGGGGAAUCUUGCACAAUGGGGGAAACCCUGAUGCAGCGACGCCGCGUGAGCGAUGAAGCCCUUCGGGGUGUAAAGCUCUUUCGGCAGGGAAGAUUAUGACGGUACCUGCAGAAGCAGCUGCGGCUAACUACGUGCCAGCAGCCGCGGUAAUACGUAGGCAGCAAGCGUUGUUCGGAGUUACCGGGCGUAAAGGGUGUGUAGGCGGCCUUGUAAGUUUGGUGUGAAAUCUCCCGGCUUAACUGGGAGGGUGCGCUAAAGACUGCAGGGCUAGAGUACGGGAUGGGAGAGUAGAAUUCCUGGUGUAGCGGUGAAAUGCGUAGAUAUCAGGAGGAAUACCUGUGGUGUAGACGGCUCUCUGGACCGUAACUGACGCUGAGACACGAAAGCGUGGGUAGCAAACAGGAUUAGAUACCCUGGUAGUCCACGCCCUAAACGAUGCAUAUUUGGUGUGGGUCAUUCAGUUGAUCUGUGCCGGAGCUAACGCGUUAAAUAUGCCGCCUGGGGAGUACAGUCGCAAGGCUGAAACUCAAAGGAAUUGAC